ACGGAAAUGUUUUAAAAGGGAAAUAAAAAAAAAAAAUAAAAUAAUAAAAAAAAAAAAAUUGUUGAAUGUAUAAGUAAUCACUAAGAAAAAACAACUACAAAUGACUAAAAAAUAAAACUCGAGUCGUUUAAGUAAUGGUAUCUUUCAUUUAUAUUUUUCACAAUGCAUCACUCCAAACGUGAAAAAUUCAAGAUUUCUUCCUACUUUUUAUUUAAACCACAUACACAUGCACAUACAAAAUCCCCAUUCUUUCAGCAUAUUCAAUACAAAUUCUUUUUUUACAGAAUUUUUCCUAGACUAGUAUUAAAAAUUAUACAUAUUUUUUUUCUUUAUCGAGUAAUUCAUAAAAUUUUACAACUGUAUAACAAAUAAUUCAUAUUUUUCGAAUUGCAACAAACAAUUCACAAUAUAUCGAACCUGAAUUUCUUUGCUAGCAACCUUUUAGUUACAACAUACAACACAAUUUUUAAAAAGAAAAUAUUUUCAAACUUACAUAUCUUCUUGACAACAACAGCCUUGGCAUGCAGCCAGUAGUUGUUUGAAGAGUGGGUCUUUGGGGAAAGGGAGACUAGUUGUGACCUCAUACCACUUCGUAACCAUAGUUACUGUGUUACAUGCAUAUUUCAAAAGGUGUUCUCGAUUUUGUACCUCAACCUUAUACGUCACACUAGGUAUUCAUCGCCAUUUUUUUUACAUCCCUCUGUUUUCUACUAUGUUGCAAUUUUUAGAAAUUCGAUAAAAUGCGGAUUAUAUCAGGUUUAAAAAAAAAAAAAUAAUAUUCGAAUAUCGAUAGAGAACGGGAUUAAAGUAACAUUUUGUCAUUUUAAUGUGAUCGGAACGUGUCUUUAAUACCCUCCAUUUCGAAGAAUGAUUUAUUCAAAUUUGAAAUAUUCAUUUUUCUUCUGCUGUUGCUGCUUCUCUUGCUGUACGUCAGUGGAUUAGAGUUGAUGAAUUAAUCCUUGGUUGCUUAGUUAAUCCUGUAUUGCCAACACGAAGAGAUUACGAGACGAUGUAGGAAAAUGAGAUUAAUCUUGUUUUUGUCUUUUCGUUUGACUAACUGAUGUCGGCCGCAAGCCUUCAAGCAUAAUUACGAGUACUCGAAUAAAGAAAAAUUAAUGAUAAAGCGAAAAAUAGCAUAAAAAUAUAUCGUUUUCUAAUAUUUUAAGAAUUGUUGCUAAAGUAACAGCGGAAUUACUGAAUUAAAUUUUUUUUAUUGUAAGUAGUAUCUGCAAUGUCGUCAAGAAACUUUGCAGAGCGAUUCUUGCAUUUUUUUUCCUUCAGGAAAGUGUAGAUUUAUUUCUAAAUUAAUGAAUAGAAAGAGAGAAAAAAUUUUCCUUUUAUUCCUUUCUCGGAAACAAUAUUAAAUAAUAAUAAUCUCAGUUUUUCAAUUGCAUAUGUUGUAAGAGCCUAUGUAUAAGUACGGAUGUAGAAAAAAGAUUUUUCUAACUUCUAUAUAUAAUUUUUUUAUUCUUGGAAAUGUUAGAUUAGAGCAUGUUCAUGUAUGAAAUUUAACAUUCUACGAAGAGAAAUGCGUGUUUGUUAGUGGAAUAUCGAUUCGAGUUCUUGUUCAUAUUCAAUAGCUAAUGAAAACAUAUUCGUGUGAUGUAGCCUACGUAAUGUCACUGCUGUGCAUUCAAAGCUGUCUGUAAAUGUAACUGUUUUAUAGCUGAUAAUGGUUUUAGCAAAAGUUUAAAAAUGAAUAUUUUAUGUUCGCUUGUAUUUUAAUGACGUUAAGUGCAAACUGACGAUGGGAAAAAUGGAUUGAAGUUCAGUUUUCGCUUUGCCUAUUACUCAUUCGCCGUUGUUGCUAGCUAGAUAUUUUUGUAUUUAUCAAAUUUUUAUGAUUAUCAUUCUCUCUGAUUUUCAGAGAAUUUUCUAAAUAAAAAUUCUGGAGGAAGAAUAAUUGUCGAAAAACUUUAUUAUAUUCAUUAUUUUUUGCAUAAUAAGAAAUAUUAGUCACUCUUUGUGUUUCCUGUUAUGGUGAUGGAAUAAUUUUUUGAUUAGAUUGUGUAUAUUUAAUUUUUGAGA
rnacentral:lncRNA from 1 species